AGGGUGAUGGCCGCUUAACUGAGCUAACCUGAUAUUAGCAGUAGCUUACAUGAGUGAAACCUAGUGUGUGUUCAUUUGCUAACACUGCUGAACACCGACAGUAGAUCUGAUAUAGCAUUAUAUUCUCAUGGGCAUACAAUCAGAGUAUAUAUAGACCUGAGCGUAGCAAGCAAUGCGUUAAGGUACUUUUAUUUAACAAAGUUUCUACCCAGAUGACUGUCAUUUUAAAGUCGAGAAUAUUUUUUUUUCCAAUUUUGUGUUAAAUUUGGUGGCACUAUUUACUAUGAUGAUGUCAGUGAAAUCUUUGCUCCUGGACUCUUCUCUCUAUAGAUAACACGAAUCCCAGUAAAAGAUAUGAGCAGAAGGGGCAAUUAUAUAUUAUUGCAAACAGGUGAGGCCUGGGACGUGACUUUUCUAACCUUUCCUUGGUGAUCUCAUCAGCGGCUUGUUUUAGUAAGCCUUUUGGAACCAAGUCAAAUGUGUUCUACUUACAUAAACAAAUUCAGUGAACAUUUAUUGCAGCUUAAAUGCUUUUUAGUGGGAGAUAAUUGCUUUGGAGACCAGGAGGGACUGACAGUAGGGAUAAGGAGUAAAUGCACCUUGUGUUAAUACAUUUCUCCACCCUACCUAUCUCAGUGGUGAAAUGUUUUCUGUGCACCUGCCAUGUGCUCUCUACACAGUCAAUUUCCAGUAUCCUUUAAAGGCGUUUUUAAUUUUAUGUUAUAGCUACAUUACUUUAAAAUAUAACUUUUUUCAUGUGUACUAUUUCCAGUGGCUAUAAGGAGAACAGCAGAGUUGCUGACCCAGUUACUUUCUUUCAAUCUAAUAGACUUCCCUUUCAUUGGCAUUGGUAAGUUCCUGAAUGGAAAAAACAAGUAUAGUAAAGGUGCUACACUAUAUCGAUA